CAUGCAAGUCGAACGGAAAGGCCCUUCGGGGUACUCGAGUGGCGAACGGGUGAGUAACACGUGGGUGAUCUGCCCUGCACUUUGGGAUAAGCCUGGGAAACUGGGUCUAAUACCGGAUAUACCUCAUGGACUGCAUGGUUUGUGGGGGAAAGCUUUUGCGGUGUGGGAUGGGCCCGCGGCCUAUCAGCUUGUUGGUGAGGUUACGGCUCACCAAGGCGACGACGGGUAGCCGGCCUGAGAGGGUGACCGGCCACACUGGGACUGAGUUACGGCCCAGACUCCUACGGGAGGCAGCAGUGGGGAAUAUUGCACAAUGGGCGCAAGCCUGAUGCAGCGACGCCGCGUGAGGGAUGACGGCCUUCGGGUUGUAAACCUCUUUCAGCAGGGACGAAGCGCAAGUGACGGUACCUGUAGAAGAAGGACCGGCCAACUACGUGCCAGCAGCCGCGGUAAUACGUAGGGUGCGAGCGUUGUCCGGAAUUACUGGGCGUAAAGAGCUCGUAGGUGGUUUGUCGCGUUGUUCGUGAAAACUCACA
rnacentral:rRNA from 1 species